UCCCCCCCAAAAAAUAAAAAAAAUAAACAAAUAGAGAUAAAAUACGAAGUAUAAAUAAAACAAAACGUCACACAGAGUUACGGAGUACUCUACCUUUUAAUAUCCCCUUUAUAUAUAUACAAAAAAAAUACUUUACCUUUUAAUCUUCUCCUUUUUUCUCAUCUACACCCACUACCUGUUAAAACCCUCCUCCUCAAAAUUCUCUCACAAUUUUGAUUUGUCCAUUUAUUCAGGCGCUGAUUAAACAACGGUGGUCGACCUCCAGUUGCGGACUUCCUAAAAGGCGGUCAAUAGUUUGCCCUUUUAGAUCGUUAGGCAAAAUCUCUACUUCAGAAUGUGCCGUUGGGAUUUGCAAGGUCCCAUUUGAGCUCCUUGGGGCCUGAUAACUAAAGUUCAUGUUUGGAUGGAUAAAAAGUACCCGUCAUGUCUCUAUGUUAAAAGGACCAAAAGUCACUAGAUUAGACUGUGCAACAUAAGGGAUGGAAUAUAAAAGAUGUGUCGGGAACAGAAGAUUAAGAAGGGGACUAAAGUGGUGGUGCAGAUGAUUAAAAAAUCUCCUCCCGUUUUCAAAGUGACAGAUUAUCAGACUUUGUGUAAAACAUCAGCUAGCGUUUCGGUAUCAUUUCUAGCAAGCUAACUUCUGAUGUGUCUAUUCUACAACUUUUUGUGUGUAAUUGCUUAAGCUUCUCUUUUGGUUCUCAACUAAUGACUAUCCAACCUCUAAUAGGAACUUCUCUUUAACAAUUUAGCCACAUUGAACUUGCUAAGUGGCCUUUUGUAUUUAUGGUGAUAGCCAACCACUUUUUAUUAUACUUAACUAUAAUUACUAUUGCC